CCUACGGGUGGCAGCAGUGGGGAAUAUUGCACAAUGGGGGAAACCCUGAUGCAGCGACGCCGCGUGAGUGAAGAAGUAAUUCGUUAUGUAAAGCUCUAUCAGCAGGGAAGAAAAUGACGGUACCUGAGUAAGAAGCCCCGGCUAACUACGUGCCAGCAGCCGCUGUAAUACGUAGGGGGCAAGCGUUAUCCGGAUUUACUGGGUGGAAAGGGAACUUAGACGGCAGUGCAAGUCUGGAGUGAAAGGCGGGGGCUCAACCCCCGGACUGCUCUGGAAACUGUACGGCUUGAGUGCAGGAGAGGUAAGUGGAAUUUCUGGUGGAGCCGUGAAAUGCGUAGAUAGUAAGAAGAACACCAGGGGCGAAGGCGGCUUACUGGACUGUAACUGACGUUGAGGCUCGAAAGCGUGGGGAGCAAACAGGAUUAGAUACCCCUGUAGUC
rnacentral:rRNA from 1 species